AAACGACUCUCGGCAACGGAUAUCUCGGCUCACGCAUCGAUGAAGAACGUAGCAAAAUGCGAUACUUGGUGUGAAUUGCAGAAUCCCGUGAACCAUCGAGUUUUUGAACGCAAGUUGCGCCCGAAGCCUUUUGGUCGAGGGCACGCCUGCCUGGGCGUCACGCAU
rnacentral:rRNA from 1 species